UACGAAGGGUGCAAGCGUUGUCCGGAAUUAUUGGGCGUAAAGAGCGUGUAGGCGGUCCGGUAAGUCAGCUGUGAAAGUCAAGGGCUCAACCCUUGAAUGCCGGUUGAUACUGUCGGGCUAGAGUCCGGAAGAGGCGAGUGGAAUUCCCGGUGUAGCGGUGAAAUGCGCAGAUAUCGGGAGGAACACCAAUGGCGAAGGCAGCUCGCUGGGACGGUACUGACGCUGAGACGCGAAAGCGUGGGGAGCAAACAGG
rnacentral:rRNA from 1 species